GAGAGGGGGGGGGGGGGGGGGGGUAUAUAUAUCUGCCAAUUAAAUAAAAUAUGAGAACACCAGAUAAUAUAUCCCUACGGAUCUAUACUAGAAUUUUCAUGAUCAUUUAUUCAAGCUCCAUACCGAUGGUUCAUUCACUGCAAAAUUUUGAAUUAUAUCAAAGAACAUUGAUCUUUUCUCCAACUUUUAAUACCAAUCAAGCACAGGCAAUAUGCAUCGCUUGGGGUACUCUUUAAUAGUAAAUUCGAACACAAGUCAUGCAUAUUGCCUGUGCAAUCAAGGUACUUUGCAUGUACAUGUACAUCAGAUAUGUACAUUUCCACUCAAACCACUUAUAUACAAGAAUGGAACCAGCUGAACAUGAGCCAGGUUAUAUAUUAUGUAUUUGCUCUCCUACCCCUUUGAUUCAGUACUGUGUAAGGAAAUAUACUAUUGAGUAUAUAUAUAUUUUAAAAAGAAUAACAAAGAACAACAAUUUUCAUUCAUAUUUCAUUCAACAUAUAUAUACACAGGUUGAUAACAAUGGCUGAUCUGCAUAUAAUGACUGCUAGUUAUUGGCUGGUAUGCAGUGAAAGGGAGCUAAAAAGGAGUAAAAAGUUCAUAUCAGCCAGGUAGUGUGGCUUAAAUAAACCAGUGUUAAGGAAUAUCCAGUAAUGGCAUGACAUCAUGAGAGUUUGGCAUACCGACAUUCAGAUGAUUAAUGAUGAAACUGAAGACCUCAAGUGAAAGGCAUGGAAAAUGAUCCUGUUCCCAUAUACCUGAAAAAGAGGAGGGAUGCCACAAUAUUGAUAAUAGACUUUUGUCAAUUUGAGAAGCAAAGAUGUAAAAAAAAAAAAAAAAAAAAAAAAAAAAAAAAAUAAUAAUAAUGCUGAAAUUAUAAUUCAUGUAUUUGUUAAAAAUACUGUUCACUAUACAUACAUGUAUAUUUUUUUAAAACUUAUUUUUAAAUACAUGAAGUAAUUCAUAUUAAAACUGUGAAUGUAUGAGUUUUCAUGAUUUUAUUUAUAUUUAAGUCAAUUCACCUUUUUCAAACUUUUGAUGCCUAUGACGGAUUUCCUCUGCAUUGCUAUAUCUAUCAGGCCCAGCACAAUCUCUAUAUUUAGCUAUAUAGUUUUAUAAAGCUAUUUCAAACAGCUUCAUUAAGCUAGUUUCGAUUAAAUUUCUUAAGUGUAAUGACACAUAACAAUAUACAUGUACUUUGAACUAACCACAACACUAUUUUAGGUAUAGAUCAUAUGUCAUUUUAAGAAUUUUCAUGAAAAGAGAAUUUCUUUUGUAUUGAUAACUGUCCACUACCUUGUGUGUGUCGAAGCUUUGAUAAGUAUAUGAUGACUUUACAAUGUGGAAUCUGUAACAACUUAAUAAUCCUAAACAUUUGACAAUUUUGAAUCAAAAUUCUUCCUAAGGUACAUAGUUUAAGAA